UACGUAGGGGGCGAGCGUUGUCCGGAAUCAUUGGGCGUAAAGCGCGUGUAGGCGGCCCGGUAAGUCCGCUGUGAAAGUCCAGGGCUCAACCCUGGGAUGCCGGUGGAUACUGUCGGGCUCGAGUCCGGAAGAGGCGACUGGAAUUCCUGGUGUAGCAGUGAAAUGCGUAGAUAUCAGGAGGAAUACCGAUGGCGAAGGCAGGUCUCUGGGCUGACACUGACGCUCAUGCACGAAAGCGUGGGGAGCAAACAGG
rnacentral:rRNA from 1 species